AGUUAAUAAGCUUAUUUAGCAUUAUAUUUUGAAAAUAUAAUUUUAGAAAUAUAGAAAUUUCUAUUAACUU
rnacentral:tRNA from 1 species